AUCAUUUCUGGCACAAUUACAAUGUAUAUACAAAAAUCAUUUCCACUAUGGUUUUGCUGUCUUUAUUUUGGAGCGGUUCUGAGCAUCUUUUUGGAGCCACAUGACAAGUUCCCUGGAGCAAGAAGAUGUGGAUGCUC
rnacentral:lncRNA from 1 species